AGAGUUUGAUCCUGGCUCAGGAUAAACGCUAGCGGUGCGCCUUAGGCAUGCAAGUCGAACGGCCCUCUUUGAGGGUAAGUGGCGGACGGGUGAGUAACGCGUAGAGAUCUACCCUUUGGUGGGGAAUAGCUCGCUGAAAAGCGGGGUAAUACCGCAUAAGCCAUUUGGGAAAGGGCAUAACUGCCCGCCGAAGGAGGAAUCUGCGUCCUAUCAGCUUGUUGGUAAGGUAAUGGCUUACCAAGGCAAUGACGGGUAGCUGGACUGAGAGGUCGGCCAGCCACAAUGUUACUGAAAUACGGAACAUACACCUACGGGUGGCAGCAACCGGGAAUCGUGCGCAAUGGACGAAAGUCUGACGCCGCGACACCGCGUGGGGGAUGAAGGUCUUCGGAUCGUAAACUCCUUUUCUUUUCAAAUAUUUGUUUAGGAAUAAGCACCUGCAAACUACGUGCCAGAAGCCUCGGUAAUACGUAGGGUGCAAGCGUUAUCCGGAUUUAUUGGGCGUAAAGGGUCCGUAGGCGGUCUAUUAAGUUUUUGAUUAAAUACCAAAGCUCAACUUUGGAAAAGUCAAAAAAACUAAUAGACUAGAGGGUAUUAGGGAGUGCUGGAACACCUAGUGUAGGGGUGAAAUCCGUUGAUAUUAGGUGGAACACCAAGGGCGAAGGCAAGCACUUAGGAUACUUCUGACGCUGAUGGACGAAAGCUAGGGUAGCAAAGCGGAUUAGAGACCCGUGUAGUCCUAGCCGUAAACGAUGUUCGUUAGCUAUCUGUUUUUUUAAAUAGGUGGCGUAAGUUAACACGUUAAACGAACCGCCUGGGGAGUACGGCCGCAAGGCUAAAACUCAAAGGAAUUGACGGGAACUCGCACAACCAGUGGAGCAUGUGGUUUAAUUCGACACAAAGCGAAGAACCUUACCUGGACUUGACAUUCUAGAGUUCUAAUUUAUCGAAAGAUAGACGAUCCGCAAGGAGACUAGAACAGCUGCUGCAUGGCUGUCGUCAGCUCGUGCCGUGAGGUGUUCCCUUAAGUGGGGUAACGAGCGCAACCCUUAUAUUAUGUUAAAUAUUCAUAAUAGACUGCAGUUAAAAUUUUAACUGAGGAAGGAGAGGAUGACGUCAAGUCAGCACGGCGCUUAUGUCCAGGGCAACACACAUCCUACAAUGGCAAAUAACAGAGGGUCGCCAAACCGUAAGGUGGAGCUAAUCCCUUAAACUUUGUCUCAGUUCGGAUUGUGGGCUGUAAUUUGCCCACAUGAAGUAGGAAUUGGUAGUAAUCGCAGAUCAGCAGGCUGCGGUGAAUACGUUCUCGAGUUUUGUACACACCGCCCGUCAAGUGAGCAAAGUCGGUAGUACCCAAAGCCUUGCAUUACAGGGUAAAGGUAAGAUCGGCGAUGAGCACUAAGUCGUAACAAGGUAUCCGUUCUGGAAGGAGCGGAUG
rnacentral:rRNA from 1 species